rnacentral:rRNA from 1 species
AUUGAACGCUGGCGGCAGGCCUAACACAUGCAAGUCGAGCGGUAGAGAGAAGCUUGCUUCUCUUGAGAGCGGCGGACGGGUGAGUAAUGCCUAGCAAUCUGCCUGGUAGUGGGGGCUAACGUUCGGAAACGGACGCUCAUACCGCAUACGUCCUACGGGACAAAGCAGGGCACCUUCGGGCCUUGCGCUACCAGAUGAGCCUAGUUCGGAUUAGCUAGUUGGUGGGGUAAUGGCUCACCAAGGCGACGAUCCGUAACUGGUCUGAGAGGACGAUCAGUCACACUGGAACUGAGAAACGGUCCAGACUCCUACGGGAGGCAGCAGUGGGGAAUAUUGGACAAGGGGCGAAAGCCUGAUCCAGCCAUGCCGCGUGUGUGAAGAAGGUCUUCGGAUUGUAAAGCACUUUAAGUUGGGAGGAAGGGCAGUAAAUUAAUACUUUGCUGUUUUGACGUUACCGACAGAAUAAGCACCGGCUAACUCUGUGCCAGCCGCCGCAGUAA